GUGUCAGCCGCCGCGGUAACACGUAGGGUGCGAGCGUUGUCCGGAUUUAUUGGGCGUAAAGGGCCCGUAGGCGGUUUGGUAAGUCGGGUGUGAAAACUCUGGGCUCAACCCAGAGACGCCACCCGAUACUGCUAUGACUUGAGUCUGGUAGGGGAGUGCGGAAUUCCUGGUGUAGCGGUGAAAUGCGCAGAUAUCAGGAGGAACACCGGUGGCGAAGGCGGCACUCUGGGCCAGUACUGACGCUGAUGGGCGAAAGCGUGGGGAGCAAACAGGAUUAGAUACCCUAGUAGUCC
rnacentral:rRNA from 1 species